rnacentral:rRNA from 1 species
AUGGAUAUGAAGGAGCAGGCCAACGCCGCCGCCACUGCUGCGCGAGAAGGCGACCUCGCCGACGUCGUGGCCCGUGCCAACGCAAUGGCCUACUCCACCGGAGCCCGUCGCCAAGCGCCACCACCUCCCCCUUCUGCGGCAGCUCGCGUCAUGAUCCCCUACGAGGAGGAGAGACAACGGCGGCCUGCGAACGUCGCCUGCGGCGGCGGCGAGGUUACCUUUGAGGCACCGCCGUCAACCGUUGUGGUCGACCCGUACCUUCUGGCGGCGGCUGGUGGAUAUGGGCUGCCACAGCAGCACCAGCACCAGCACCAGCAACUGCUCGCUUUCCAGAUCUCUGAGCAUGCGUGCUGCGCCGCCGCCGACAGCGACGACCCCAUGAGGAUCUCGCCACCACCACCACAACCGGCUCCUCAUCAUCAGAUGAUCACCAGUUAUUGCGGCAUGGCUUGCACGCAUAUACCAUACUGCAGAAAGAACGAUGUGAGGAAGGUGGUCUGCAUCCCGGCGCCACCGGUGAUGAGCAACCGGGCAGGAGGGGGAGGGGAGGUGAUUCCAUCUGAUCUAUGGGCAUGGAGAAAGUAUGGCCAGAAACCCAUCAAGGGCUCUCCUUAUCCAAGGGGUUACUACAGAUGCAGCAGCUCCAAGGGGUGCCUAGCCCGGAAGCAGGUGGAGCGCAGCCGCAGCGACCCCAACAUGCUGGUUAUCACCUACACGGCGGAGCACAACCACCCAUGGCCAAUGCAGCGCAACGUUCUUGCUGGAUACGCUCGUGCUCACACGCACGCCGCUGCCAAGAAGCAGCAGAAGAUCAGCAGCAGUAGCUCCGCUGAUAAUGCCGCGAGCUCGUCCUCCAUCAACAGUUUCCACGUCGAGCAGAUCAAUCCGAUCUGCGUCGACCAGCUGCCCGUCAGUUGCAAGAUGCCGGAUAGCACGGCCACUGCCGGAGAUGGUGGUGGCCUGUUGUUUGAAGGCAUCCAGCCUGACGAGGUCUUUGCAGAGCUGGAGGAGUUGGAGACUCAUAAUAAUCCCGUGAUGACAAGUGCAAACGUCUACGGAUCCAGGGGGGUAAGUAGUAACUACGAGUGGCACAAAUUCUAA